ACACUGCAGAACACCCAGGCAAUGGGCAGGGAAGCUCUCGGCUCAGAACAGAGCCUGUUCUGGCUGGAAACUUGGCACUCUGGACUCGAGCGCUUCCAGGCUGAGCUCCAGUGAAUGAGCUGGAAUCUUUGCAAGGCACAGGACCUGAAUUCACCUUUUCUUUUUUUCCCUUUCUUUCUUUCUUUCUUUCUUUCUUUCUUUCUUUCUUUCUUUCUUUCUUUCUUUCUUUCUCUCUCUUUCUCUCUCUCUCUCUCUUUCUGUCUUUCUUUCCUUUCUUUCUUUCUUUCUUUUUUUGAGAUGGAGAUUCACUUGUUGCCCAGGCUGGAGUGCAAUGGCCUGACCUCGGCCCACCACAACCUCUGUCUCUGGGUUCAAGUGAUUUUGCUGCCUCAGCCUCCUGAGUAGCUGGGAUUACAAGCACACACCACCAUGCUCAGCUGAUUUUGUGUUUUUUAGUAGAGAUGGGAUUUCUCCAUGUUGGUCAGGCUGGUCUCAAACUCUUGACCUCAGGAACUCCCAGCCUCAGAUUCCCCAGGCUGCCUUCCCAGCCCAAAGCUCAGCCAGCACCCACACACCUUGGGGGUGCAGCACACACAAGAAUCAGCACAGGUAUGGCACGUGUGUGCAGGGCAUUUGGGGGCCAGGCUUCAGUAUUCUGCUCCAUGUGCCUCUGGCCACAUGAACCCAGAAACAGAGACCCUUUUCAGAACCUCUGCCUCACUUUCCCCUUGAGACACAAACCCACCCGUAAAGCCCACUUUAGGGUUUCAGUCUAUAGUGUGGGUUUUUUUUUUUGUUGUUUGGUAGUUUUUUGGUUAUUUCCCUCUAUCUGGGGAGAUGGGGUGGGAGGGCUCCACAUGCAGGGCUCGGCACCUGUCCUGUCCCAAAGGCCUAUCGGGCCCCGCACCCCCUUCCUGCAGCAUAUGUGUACAACGUGCAAAGUGUCCCCCCUUCCCGCGAAAAACAGAGCCCCCCCAGCCAGUGAAAAUGGUGGGGGGGACAGAAAGAGGGGAUGA
rnacentral:lncRNA from 1 species